rnacentral:rRNA from 1 species
AACGAACGCUGGCGGCGCGCCUAAUACAUGCAAGUCGAGCGAGAAGGUGUAGCAAUACACUUGUAAAGCGGCGAACGGGUGAGGAAUACAUGGGUAACCUACCCUCGAGUGGGGAAUAACUAGCCGAAAGGUUAGCUAAUACCGCAUACGAUUCCAGGACUUCGGUCCUGGAAGGAAAGCACUACCGUGGGUAGUGCGCUCCUGGAUGGGCUCAUGUCCUAUCAGCUUGUUGGGAGGUAAAGGCUCACCAAGGCUUCGACGGGUAGCUGGUCUGAGAGGACGAUCAGCCACACUGGCACUGCGACACGGGCCAGACUCCUACGGGAGGCAGCAGUAAGGAUAUUGCGCAAUGGGCGAAAGCCUGACGCAGCGACGCCGCGUGGGGGAUGAAGGUCUUCGGAUUGUAAACCCCUUUCGGG